AACGAACGCUGGCGGCAGGCCUAACACAUGCAAGUCGAACGCCCUAGCAAUAGGGAGUGGCAGACGGGUGAGUAACGCGUGGGAACGUACCCUUCGGUUCGGAAUAAGCCGGGGAAACCUGGUCUAAUACCGGAUACGUGCGAGAGCAGAAAGAUUUAUCGCCGAAGGAUCGGCCCGCGUCCGAUUAGCUAGUUGGUGAGGUAACGGCUCACCAAGGCGACGAUCGGUAGCUGGUCUGAGAGGAUGAUCAGCCACACUGGGACUGAGACACGGCCCAGACUCCUACGGGAGGCAGCAGUGGGGAAUAUUGGACAAUGGGCGCAAGCCUGAUCCAGCCAUGCCGCGUGAGUGAUGAAGGCCCUAGGGUUGUAAAGCUCUUUCGCCAGGGACGAUAAUGACGGUACCUGGAUAAGAAGCCCCGGCUAACUUCGUGCCAGCCGCCGCAGUAAAAC
rnacentral:rRNA from 1 species